rnacentral:ncRNA from 1 species
AUAAAGUUUUAUUUAAGCUUGGGAUUUUGGUUUAUUUUUUUUUUACAUGUAAGUUUGAGAAAGUCUUUAGAUAGGUUAUUAGCAGUAUUUAGUAUUAUAUAUUUAGUAGUUUAAGAUUUAGAAAUUGAUUGUUAAUAUUAAUAAAAUUUGUGCCAGCAAUUGCGGUUAUACAAAUGAUGUGAUUAAAAUAUUUUGGUUAAUAAUUAAUUAUUUAUGAAUAUUUGAAAUUUACUGUUAGAUUUAUUAGGUGAAAUUUUAAAUUUAAUAUAAUUUUCUUUAGGAUUUAUGAGGUUAUUAAAAUUUAAUAGUAAACUAGGAUUAGAUACCCUAUUAUUUAAAUUGUAAAUUUAAUAUGCCUGAUUAUUAGCAGAUUAUUUUCUUGAAAAUUAAAGAUUUUGGCGGUAUUUUAGUCCAUUCAGAGGAACCUGUCCUGUAAUUGAUAGUCCACGAUUUACUUUACUUUUUCUUUUAGUUUGUAUAUCGUCGUGGUUGAAUAUUUUAUUAGAAUAUUAAUAUUCAAUUUUUAUUAUUUUAAUUUAUGUCAGAUCAAGGUGCAGCCUAUGAAAGAGAAGAGAUGGGUUACAAUAAAAUUAUUUUUGGUUUAUUUGUUUAUAAAUGAAUAAUAAAUUGGAUUUGAAUGUAAUAUCUUUUAAUUAAUAGAUGUGAUUUUGGCUCUAAAAUAUGCACAUAUUGCCCGUCGCUCUCAUUUAAGGUGAGAUAAGUCGUAACAAAGUAGGUGUACUGGAAAGUGUACCUAGAAAGAU